rnacentral:tRNA from 1 species
GCCGCCAUAGCUCAGCUGGCAGAGCGUCCGCCUCGUAAGCGGAAGGUCCCCGGUUCGAAUCCGGGUGGUGGCU